ACGCACGCUGGCGGCGUGCUUAACACAUGCAAGUCGCACGGAAAGGCCCUGCUUUUGUGGGGUGCUCGAGUGGCGAACGGGUGAGUAACACGUGAGUAACCUGCCCUUGACUUUGGGAUAACUUCAGGAAACUGGGGCUAAUACCGGAUAGGAGCUCCUGCUGCAUGGUGGGGGUUGGAAAGUUUCGGCGGUUGGGGAUGGACUCGCGGCUUAUCAGCUUGUUGGUGGGGUAGUGGCUUACCAAGGCUUUGACGGGUAGCCGGCCUGAGAGGGUGACCGGCCACAUUGGGACUGAGAUACGGCCCAGACUCCUACGGGAGGCAGCAGUGGGGAAUAUUGCACAAUGGGCGGAAGCCUGAUGCAGCAACGCCGUGUGCGGGAUGACGGCCUUCGGGUUGUAAACCGCUUUCGCCUGUGACGAAGCGUGAGUGACGGUAAUGGGAAAAGAAGCACCGGCUAACUACGUG
rnacentral:rRNA from 1 species